ensembl:lncRNA
CUGCAUCUUUUCUGGCCUCUCAUCCUCCCCAGCCACCCGGGUAAAGGUCAGGCUUCGCAUCCUGAUCUGUCCCUGCGCCUGUUUGCGAAUUCUCUCUCCCGUGAAAUCCUUUAAGGCUACCGCCGGCCGGGAAGGUCUCUACAGCAGCGGUCCUGCUCCCCCCGCCCCCCAGGCUGGAGGCGGGGCCCUGGGAUCCCAGCUCAGUGGUGCUGGCCUCCGGGGAGCAGGCCAGGCCCCCUGCCCCGGGGCUCCUGUGACCUGUGCUCUUCCAUCUCUAGUCAGGAGAAAACCAAAGGACUCGAUUUCUCCGUGGCUGACGUAGGAUGACCGCACUGGGCUUGUCUGCGGGCUGGGAGGCUGGAAGAGGCGUGACCAGCUCCGGGGUGAGGACGUGGAGCCCGCGUGUGGGCAAGGGGGCCUGCCUCCCUGGGGAGGCCCUGCCCUCCUCUUAGGAAACGGGGCGAAGCCACAGGAGUUGGGUGGCCAUCAGCAAGAGGCGUCUCUGUGCUGGGCGGGAUCCAAGCCGGUGCUUCAGAGGCGGGGGUCGGGGCUGGGGUCCCCAGGGAGUCAGGACAGUGAGCCCUCCCCCGGGCCCUGGGGGACAGCCCAGUGGGCCUCCCUCUCCUCCUUCACUUGACACGGGCGAGGGGCGCUCUCAAACGCUGCCCAGGGCCCUCCCGCCCCCAGGUCACCAGCCAAGCCUGGAUCCCCCUCCACGCGGCUGCCUCAGGCCCCGCCCCCUGCAAGCAGACCCCGGCCACACCUGCCUGAGUCCCGCAGCCCCCAGCAGAGCAUCAGCCUGCCCUCAGCACAGCAGGCCUCUGGGUCCUGGCUUCCUCCUGGGCCGCAGGCACGUGCAUGGUCACGCGGGGGAGACGCCGGGGCCUGGCGGGGGUGCUGUCUAGGACCAGCUCUGUGCCCAGGGUCCCACCCUGGGGUGCCGGCCUGCAGGGCGCUACUGCCCGCCGGCCAGUCUCUGCCGCAGGCCCGGCUCCUCUUGCGUGCUUCCCCGGGAGGAAGGCUUGCAGCGAUAGACUCGCACAUCCGUCUCGCCCUGGAGGUCUGUGACUGCCGCCCGCCCCGCCUCGUCCACGGCCCUGUCCUCUUGGGCAGAAGCCUCCUUCCAGCCUCCAGGGCCCGCGCUUCCCCGCAGGGACUCGUUAGAGCCCAGCAGAGAAGCCCUUGCUUCAAAGUCUCUCUUUGCAGAGAGCGGAGAUCCAUCCAUCAGCCCACUGAAGGCUCUGAAGAGUGGUCACAGCUCCCAUUCUUCAAGAUGAUGAAGAGCGCGCCUCUGCAGGCCUUGGGGGACCGCAAGCCCCGACUCGGGAGGGAGCCGCCUCCCCCUGCUCCCCGAGGGGGCUCCGUGCAGCAGCAUCUGGAUGUGUCCUCCAUGCCCACCCAUGGGGUGAAGAAGGGCCCACCGCCAGGACAGCUCUGCCGCGAUUUCGGGGGCCUGACCCACAGGGAGUCCAGCCAGUGGAAGGCCCCGGCAGGGCCCCCACACACGGAAAGGAGCAUCGGGGCUGAGCUGCUGCUGCGCCUCCUUCGUUAAAUCCCCGGCAUGUUCUGACGCUGUGCUGACUUCUGCCGAAGUCUGCCUGACUCAGUGCUCACAGAUGCUGUGAACACCCACGGCUCCAUCUUUACACGCGAGGGAGCUGAGGCCCACAGAGGGUCACCGGGCGGGAGCUCCCGUGCGGGGUGCACAGUCCGGGGCGGCCUAGCUGGGGAGAGGGAGCCAUGUCUUCCUGGCUCCGGGAGGGCCGGCAGGCGGAGGCAGCUCGAAAGAUGAAUUUCGGGAUCCUGCAGCCGCAGAGAUCAGCUGGGUGCAGUGGAGUCGUCUGUGUUGGAAUCUAUCAUGGUCCCGACAUAAAUUAAUUAUAACCCUUCUGCUGGAAGCAGCUUCAUGUAUAAUUAACAUUUGCUGGAGGCAAGAGGGGCUGCCGGAGAAGCUGCUGCUUCCACGGGGCCGACGGGGCGGGGGGACCCUCUGUGCUGGGGUCAGGCCGGCUUGACCCUGACGCCAGUGGCCCUGAUGCCUGCCAGCUCCUUCCAGGGUCUUCUGGGGGAGGACCUGGGCAGAGGGUCAGGCGGGCAUCCUGAGAGGCACACCGUCCAUUUCUCAGAGUCAUCAUCCUUGAGACCCAGAGACGCUUCUGCCGCUCUGACCCUGACUAAACAGCGUCCUCUUCAGCCAGGGGCCUGCAGCCCUGAUGGGACCCAAGGAGGGCAGCGGGCGGUCUCAGAGAAACCACGGAAGGCAGGGCUGGAGGCAGUGACUGUUCGUCCCCGCGGGCAGUAGGCUGGCACCUCGUGUCCUCCUCUGAAGGUCCAGAGGCUGCUCCUGGACAGACGGUGGUGCAGAGACCUGCCCUGAGACUGCAGGACAGGGUCUAGUCAGAAGCGCAGAAUGCAGGGCGGCCCGGCGGCAGGGGGCCCGCCCUCCGGAGGAGCUGGAGGCUGGGAUCUUGGCUGUGUCAGCGCUUCUUGAGGGCUCUGGUCUGGACGCCCCUGCGGCUCCCGAGGGCACGGUGGCCAGAGAGGGACGCGGU